rnacentral:piRNA from 1 species
UUGGAUACCUGGAGAUGGCCCCUUGGCCCC